UACGUAGGGCGCAAGCGUUGUCCGGAAUUACUGGGCGUAAAGAGCUCGUAGGUGGUUUGUCGCGUUGUUCGUGAAAACUCACAGCUCAACUGUGGGCGUGCGGGCGAUACGGGCAGACUGGAGUACUGCAGGGGAGACUGGAAUUCCUGGUGUAGCGGUGGAAUGCGCAGAUAUCAGGAGGAACACCGGUGGCGAAGGCGGGUCUCUGGGCAGUAACUGACGCUGAGGAGCGAAAGCGUGGGGGAGCGAACAGG
rnacentral:rRNA from 1 species